UUCUGGAUGCUAACAGACGUGGUAGAAGCUCCCAUGGACACACUGAAGAGCCAGAGCUGUCCAGGCUCACCCAUGUCUGUCUUUUCACUGGGCUUGCACUGGAAAGGAAGAAUUUGAGUCACAAGAAAAAACAGUUAAUGAUUCCCGAGAGUGGGAUGAACUUUGUCCCAGCGGAGGAGAUAAUAGGCACUCAUCACACAAGAGAAGCCACUCAUGCAAGCUUUCCUCUGACAUCCAGAGACUUGCCGUGGUAAACAAAGGGAACUGUGUAUGGUGUCAUCACAACACUAACUGCAUUAAUUAAGGCCAGAAGCAAGCUAUGCAACCAUCAG